CUGCACGGCAAUUCUCAGGGAGGAGCAUGGAUUGUGUUCAUGUAUAAAGAAACACUGUUGAUGUGCAGAGGAAUGUGGAUGUGAUAGUUUCCAGCCUCUGGCAGACAGGGUCUUGCUAUUCGUCCAGGCUGGAGCAUCGCCUUACCAAAGGCUUGGAUUCCUGGGCUCAAGAAAUCCUACCACCUCAGACUCUAGAGUAGCUGGGACUACAGUCGAAAUCUUUCCUCAGAGGGGGCAAGAAAUGAAGUUGCUGCAGACCUACGUGGAUAAUUACCACCACUAGCAGAGGGGCGCAAGGGAGUCUCCUGAAGUACUGGAAGUUUCUAUAUCUUUUUCAGAGUGGUGGGUACACAGGUGCACACAUAUAUAAAAAUGUAUUCAUCUGCAUACUUGAAGUUUUACACACUUUGUAUAAUUUAUUAAUCAACCAAAAAAGCAAAACUAACCUAAUGCAUAAAA
rnacentral:lncRNA from 1 species